rnacentral:tRNA from 1 species
GGAACCCUCCCGCACGGUGAUGGCGGCGGCGACUAGAGGUUGCCGCGCUUCUCCUGCUCGCGCUCGAUCGCCUCGAACAGGGCCUUG